rnacentral:lncRNA from 1 species
CCAACAAGCCAGCAGGGAGAACAGCCUCAGCAUGGUCAAAACACUGCCUGGCUCUUUCCAAAGCCACUUCCUCCAUGGAGCAAGAGGCCUCUAGUGACCUGGUGGUCACUUGCAGUCCCCUCUGGACCUGGAGCCAGAAGCUGUGGCAGAUGAACAAGGCCCUUUCAAGAGGGGCUGGCUGGACACUGUGUGUGGAGAGACAGUGAGCAGCUGUUGUGUGCAUGUACCCAGGGGGCCUUAGAUGCACCAAGGCAUACAAGUAUGGGGUCAGAGUUGUCCACUCUCAAGAUGAGGAGGAGAGCCGUGAUUCAGAUAAUGCUGCAGGAGAAAGGAAAUCCUACGAAUUAAAUGUGUUGUCAGAAGCUGGUUUAAAAAAAGAAAAGAUGGAAGCCAGGCACAGUGGCACAAGACUUAAUCCCAGCUAUUUGGGAGGCUGAAACAGGAAGACUGACUUCAAGUCCACCAUGGGGAACGUGAUGAGACACCUUUCUCAAAAAUAGAAAGACAAGGACUGGCAUAGUGUGGUGGAUUAUAAGGCUCUUCAGGAUCAAUUUUGGAACAAUAACAAAAAGUCAUGAUAAUAAAGCAGAAAGUAAAUGAUGAAUGACCUGAAAUAAGAGUCCCAUUUAUGUAUUUAUAUUCCAGAAGAAGAAACAACAUGAAGCAUUCACAAAGGUUGCAUCUAAUACUUUUCUUUUUAUAAAAUAUCUAUGAUCACUUUUCCCUGAUUGACUGUUAGAAAAAUACUAUUUUUUUUCAUGCAAUAUCAUUAAUCAAGUGGUAGGAGUUUGAAAUGUCCACACUGCACUCAGUUAUAUAGAAU